rnacentral:miRNA from 1 species
GGCCCGCGGAGCCCCCGGUGCGGCCAUGAACCGACCCCUGGCGGCGUCGGCGGAGGCGGAGG